GAUGCUAUUCUAGAGAUAGAAAGUUACUUCGGUACAUCGGUGACAGGUGGUGCAUGGUUGUCGUCAGCUCGUGUCGUGAGAUGUUGGGUUAAGUCCCGCAACGAGCGCAACCCCUAUUGUUAGUUGCCAUCAUUCAGUUGGGCACUCUAGCGAGACUGCCGGUAAUAAACCGGAGGAAGUGGGAUGACGUCAAAUCAUCAUGCCCCUUAUGACCUGGGCUACACACGUGCUACAAUGGUUGGUACAACGAGUUGCGAGUCGGUGACGGCGAGCUAAUCUCUUAAAGCCAAUCUCAGUUCGGAUUGUAGGCUGCAACUCGCCUACAUGAAGUCGGAAUCGCUAGUAAUCGCGGAUCAGCACGCCGCGGUGAAUACGUUCCCGGGCCUU
rnacentral:rRNA from 1 species